GAUGAAGAACGUAGCGAAAUGCGAUAAGUAAUGUGAAUUGCAGAAUUCAGUGAAUCAUCGAAUCUUUGAACGCACAUUGCGCCCGCUAGUAUUCUGGCGGGCAUGCCUGUUCGAGCGUCAUUUCAACCAUCAAGCCCUGUUUAGGCUUGUGUUGGGGCCCUGCGGUUGCCGCAGCCCCCUAAAUGCAGUGGCGGGCUCGUUGUCACUCCGAGCGCAGUAGCGUAUCUCGCUCUGGGCGUGGCGGCGGGUGCUAGCCGUGAAUCACCCACUAAGGUUGACCUCGGAUCAGGUAGGAAUACCCGCUGAACUUAAGCAUAUCAAUAAGCGGAGGA
rnacentral:misc_RNA from 1 species